CCCGUUAAGGGGGUCUUUCUCCGACCUUCCAGAGGCUUCGCCUCUUCAUCUCUCGCUCCCCUCUCUCUCUUCCGGCCGCUCCCUCUCUCUCUUCUCCCCUUCGUUCCCACCGGAACCUUAGUUGCUCCGGCCGAUCUCUCGGCCUUCUUUCCCUCCUUCGGCCGAAUCCACGGCCUCUUCUUCCUUCUGGUCUCUCCCUCUCCUUCU
rnacentral:lncRNA from 1 species